rnacentral:rRNA from 1 species
GAUGAACGCUGGCGGCGUGCCUAUACAUGCAAGUCGAGCGAACAGACGAGGAGCUUGCUCCUCUGACGUUAGCGGCGGACGGGUGAGUAACACGUGGAUAACCUACCUAUAAGACUGGGAUAACUUCGGGAAACCGGAGCUAAUACCGGAUAACAUGUUGAACCGCAUGGUUCAACAGUGAAAGACGGUCUUGCUGUCACUUAUAGAUGGAUCCGCGCCGCAUUAGCUAGUUGGUAAGGUAACGGCUUACCAAGGCAACGAUGCGUAGCCGACCUGAGAGGGUGAUCGGCCACACUGGAACUGAGACACGGUCCAGACUCCUACGGGAGGCAGCAGUAGGGAAUCUUCCGCAAUGGGCGAAAGCCUGACGGAGCAACGCCGCGUGAGUGAAGAAGGUCUUCGGAUCGUAAAACUCUGUUAUUAGGGAAGAACAAAUGUGUAAGUAACUAUGCACGUCUUGACGGUACCUAAUCAGAAAGCCACGGCUAACUACGUG